GUCUAUAUGAGUAUAUAAUAUAAAGUCUAGCCUGCCCACUGAGUAUUUAAAGGGCUGCGGUAAUUUGACCGUGCAAAGGUAGCAUAAUCAGUAGUCUUUUAAUUGAAGGCUUGAAUGAACGGUUGGAUGAGAGAGAAGCUGUCUCUUUUAUAAAUUAAAAUUUGACUUUUAAGUGAAAAGGCUUAAAUUGCGUAAAGGGACGAUAAGACCCUAUAAAACUUUAUAAGAGAUUUAUUUUAUUUUUAAAUUCUUCUUUAAAAAUUGUGAAGUAAUUCUUUUAUUUUGUUGGGGCGACAUUGAUAUAAGCUGUAACUGUUUAAAUAAAAACUAUAAUUAUCAUUAUUGUUUGAUCCUUCUUUGUGGAUAAAAAGACUAAGUUACUUUAGGGAUAACAGCGUAAUUUUUUUUGAGAGUUCUUAUCGAAGAAAAUAGUUGCGACCUCGAUGUUGAAUUAAAAUUUCAGGCAAGUGUAGCCGCUUGCUAUGUGGGUCUGUUCGACCUUUAAAAUUUU
rnacentral:rRNA from 1 species